UACGGAGGGUGCGAGCGUUGUCCGGAAUCAUUGGGCGUAAAGGGCGCGUAGGUGGCCUGCUAAGCGUGCGGUGAAAGCUCGGGGCUCAACCCCGAGUCGGCCGUGCGAACUGGUGGGCUUGAGCACUGUAGAGGCAGGCGGAAUUCCAGGUGUAGCGGUGGAAUGCGUAGAGAUCCGGAAGAACACCGGUGGCGAAGGCGGCCUGCUGGGCAGUAGCUGACACUGAGGCGCGACAGCGUGGGGAGCAAACAGG
rnacentral:rRNA from 1 species